CCAUCGGUGGUUCAGUGGUAUAAAUGCUCGCCUGCCACGCGGCCGGCCCGGGUUCGAUUCCCGGCCGAUGCA
rnacentral:tRNA from 1 species